rnacentral:rRNA from 1 species
UACGUAGGUGGCAAGCGUUGUCCGGAAUUAUUGGGCGUAAAGCGCGCGCAGGCGGUUCUUUAAGUCUGAUGUGAAAGCCCACGGCUCAACCGUGGAGGGUCAUUGGAAACUGGGGGACUUGAGUGCAGGAGAGAAGAGUGGAAUUCCACGUGUAGCGGUGAAAUGCGUAGAGAUCCGGAGGAACACCAAAGGCGAAGGCAGUGUCCUGGGGAGUACCUGACGCUCAGGUGCGAAAGCCAGGGGAGCGAACGGG